AUGCUUGAGAUGCUCCUUGCAAACCUUGGCGUAGGCCCACCCCAGUAUGAGAAUGUUGUCCAUGAGGACAAUAAGGUUCGCAUUACUGUUAACUUCAACACUUCUAGUCUGGAUCCUGGAGGCUCAAUUGUCGACGUGUCUGUGCCUGGAGAGUAUUGCAUAGAUGAGGUCACUGCCGGAGAUAGCGCUGCUAUUAAAGCAGUCAGAUACAUAGAGACCAUGACCAACACAGUUGUCAGAGACAUAAACUAUGCAAAAACAAAGCGCCAGGAAAAUCGUAUCACCUUCCUUGAAAAACGGCUCAAAGAAUCAGAAAUCAAAGGCAAGAAGCUUACCAGAGGUUGGCACCUAUCUACCAGAGAUAUGUACUACUUUUCUGAACAAAUGCGAAAUGCGGCUGGAACCUCCCUUUUGGAGAUCUCCCAGAUAUAA
rnacentral:rRNA from 1 species